CCUACGGGAGACAGCAGUGAGGAAUAUUGGUCAAUGGCCGGAAGGCUGAACCAGCCAAGCCGCGUGAAGGACGAAGGUGCCAAGCAUUGUAAACUUCUUUUGUAAAGGGGCAAAAUCAGACUCGAGAGCCUGACCGAGGGUACUUGAAGAAAAAGCAUCGGCUAACUCCGUGCCAGCAGCCGCGGUAAUACGGGGGAUUCAAGCGUUAUCCGGAUUUAUUGGGUUUAAGGGGUGCGUAGGCGGUCUGUUAAGUUAAAGGUAAAACCCCGGGGUUAAACCCGGGCGAGCCGUUGAAACUGGCGGUCUAGAGAGGUGGAGAGGUAUGCGGAAUGCGGAGUGUAGCGGUGAAAUGCUUAGAUA
rnacentral:rRNA from 1 species